UCGAGCGAACAGACGAGGAGCUUGCUCCUCUGACGUUAGCGGCGGACGGGUGAGUAACACGUGGAUAACCUACCUAUAAGACUGGGAUAACUUCGGGAAACCGGAGCUAAUACCGGAUAAUAUAUUGAACCGCAUGGUUCAAUAGUGAAAGACGGUUUUGCUGUCACUUAUAGAUGGAUCCGCGCCGCAUUAGCUAGUUGGUAAGGUAACGGCUUACCAAGGCAACGAUGCGUAGCCGACCUGAGAGGGUGAUCGGCCACACUGGAACUGAGACACGGUCCAGACUCCUACGGGAGGCAGCAGUAGGGAAUCUUCCGCAAUGGGCGAAAGCCUGACGGAGCAACGCCGCGUGAGUGAUGAAGGUCUUCGGAUCGUAAAACUCUGUUAUUAGGGAAGAACAAAUGUGUAAGUAACUAUGCACGUCUUGACGGUACCUAAUCAGAAAGCCACGGCUAACUACGUGCCAGCAGCCGCGGUAAUACGUAGGUGGCAAGCGUUAUCCGGAAUUAUUGGGCGUAAAGCGCGCGUAGGCGGUUUUUUAAGUCUGAUGUGAAAGCCCACGGCUCAACCGUGGAGGGUCAUUGGAAACUGGAAAACUUGAGUGCAGAAGAGGAAAGUGGAAUUCCAUGUGUAGCGGUGAAAUGCGCAGAGAUAUGGAGGAACACCAGUGGCGAAGGCGACUUUCUGGUCUGUAACUGACGCUGAUGUGCGAAAGCGUGGGGAUCAAACAGGAUUAGAUACCCUGGUAGUCCACGCCGUAAACGAUGAGUGCUAAGUGUUAGGGGGUUUCCGCCCCUUAGUGCUGCAGCUAACGCAUUAAGCACUCCGCCUGGGGAGUACGACCGCAAGGUUGAAACUCAAAGGAAUUGACGGGGACCCGCACAAGCGGUGGAGCAUGUGGUUUAAUUCGAAGCAACGCGAAGAACCUUACCAAAUCUUGACAUCCUCUGACUCCUCUAGAGAUAGAGUUUUCCCCUUCGGGGGACAGAGUGACAGGUGGUGCAUGGUUGUCGUCAGCUCGUGUCGUGAGAUGUUGGGUUAAGUCCCGCAACGAGCGCAACCCUUAAGCUUAGUUGCCAUCAUUAAAGUUGGGCACUCUAAGUUGACUGCCGGUGACAAACCGGAAGGAAGGUUGGGGAUGACGUCAAAUCAUCAUGCCCCU
rnacentral:rRNA from 1 species